GCGGCUCCGCUGAGCCGCUCGGAGCUCCUCAAUUUCCUGCAGCAGGGCCUGGAGAAGGAAAGGGUCCGGUCAAGAGCCUGCGCCGGGCCUGCUCGGAGGGGGCUGCCCUCCCCUCCCCUCCCCUCCCCCCUCCCUUCUCUCCCCUCCCCUCCCCUCCUACCCUCAGUACCUCGUUGAUUUCUGUUUGUUCCCAUUUGGCCUGCUCCAGCUGCACACGCCUCCUCCUGAUCUGCAAAGCGAUCGGGACCGGUUGCAGGGAUGCAGGGUGGGGAAGGGCAUUCCCAGCCCGUCCCCAGGGCACGGCCGGGCCGGGCCAGAGCAGGGCAGCGAGCCCUGAGGCCCCGCGGCUCCGUGGCCCACGGCUCUGCCCUGCGGCAUUGCUGCGGGUGGCUCACACACCUCCAUCACCUCCUGCCGCCUUGCGGCCAAUUGAGCUGUGGCUGCCAGCAGUGACUCCCGCAACUCCUCCGCCAUGGCUUCGCCUGCAGGCACAGCAACAUCCGAGCGGUGUGAGGGGCACGGCCGUGGGCACGGCGAGGCACGGGCCCCGCUGUGGGCAGCGCCCUGCCCCAGCAAUGGGGUCUGGGGUCCGGGGGAGGGGAACUGAGGGGUCCCGUGGCAGAACUGGGGGGGUCCCAAAGGCUGGCUGGGGUCCUGGGGGGUGGAACUGAGGGUCCCAUAGGGGAUUUGAAGGGUCCCAAAAGGGGUCUGGGGUCCCAGAAGGGGAAGCGGAGCUCCCGUCCAGGGGGACUGGGGCUCCCAUUUGGGAGGGCACACAAAGCACACGCACAGACAGAGGCACGGACACAGGAUCACACGGACACAGACACAGACACGGGAAUGGAUACAGACAUGGGCAUGGACACAGACACAGAGGCCCAAGCACGAACAGAGGCACAGACACGGACGCCGAGAGGGACGUGGACACAAGCACAGACACGGACACGGGCACGGACACGGACAGAGGCACGGACACGGACACAGAUAUGGACACGGCCACGGCCACGCUCUCUGCCACCCAUCGCAGCCACGCGCAGGCACAGCACUGAGGGGAGGCCAGGCCUGGCCCCAGGCACGCCGCACGACUUCUGCCUACCGCUCACUGCCGGCAGCUGGAGCUGGAAGUGGAACGACCCCCAGGCACGCUGUGGGAUUGCUCCUCGGUCACUUUCUGGCUUUGCUCUCCUCUCCUCCGCUCUCCACGUCCUCUCGGCGCCGUCGCUCUGCACCGACUGCUC
rnacentral:lncRNA from 1 species